rnacentral:rRNA from 1 species
UACGUAGGGGGCAAGCGUUGUCCGGAUUUAUUGGGCGUAAAGAGCGUGUAGGCGGCUUGGAAGGUCAGCUGUGAAAACUCGAGGCUCAACCUCGAGACGUCGGUUGAAACCACCUGGCUAGAGUCCGGAAGAGGAGAAUGGAAUUCCCGGUGUAGCGGUGAAAUGCGCAGAUAUCGGGAAGAACACCCGUGGCGAAGGCGGUUCUCUGGGACGGUACUGACGCUGAGACGCGAAAGCGUGGGGAGCGAACAGG